rnacentral:rRNA from 1 species
UACGGGGGGGGCAAGCGUUGUUCGGAAUUACUGGGCGUAAAGGGCUCGUAGGCGGCCAACUAAGUCAGACGUGAAAUCCCUCGGCUUAACCGGGGAACUGCGUCUGAUACUGGUUGGCUUGAAUCCGGGAGAGGGAUGUGGAAUUCCAGGUGUAGCGGUGAAAUGCGUAGAUAUCUGGAGGAACACCGGUGGCGAAGGCGGCAUCCUGGACCGGCAUUGACGCUGAGGAGCGAAAGCCAGGGGAGCAAACGGG